GACAGAGGGUGCAAACGUUGUUCGGAAUUACUGGGCGUAAAGCGCGUGUAGGCGGCUAAGUAAGUCGGGCGUGAAAUCCCACGGCUCAACCGUGGAAGUGCACUCGAAACUGCAUAGCUAGAGUCCUGGAGAGGAAGGUGGAAUGCUUGGUGUAGAGGUGAAAUUCGUAGAUAUCAAGCGGAACACCGGUGGCGAAGGCGGGACUCUGGGCCGAUACUGACGCUGAGGAGCGAAAGCGUGGGGGAGCGAACAGG
rnacentral:rRNA from 1 species